rfam:Myotis brandtii contig189315, whole genome shotgun sequence.
GCCUGUUUGGCUCAGUAGAUAGAGCGUCAGCCUGCGGACUGAAGGGUCCUGGGUUCGAAUCCAGUCAAGGGCA